AUUGAACGCUGGCGGCGUGCUUAACACAUGCAAGUCGAGCGGUAAGGCCCUUUCGGGGGUACACGAGCGGCGAACGGGUGAGUAACACGUGGGUGACCUGCCUUUAGCUCUGGGAUAAGCCUGGGAAACUGGGUCUAAUACCGGAUAUGACUCCGCGGUGCAUGCUGUGGGGUGGAAAGCCUUGUGCGGCUGGAGAUGGGCCCGCGGCCUAUCAGCUUGUUGGUGGGGUGANGGCCUACCAAGGCGACGACGGGUAGCCGGCCUGAGAGGGCGACCGGCCACACUGGGACUGAGACACGGCCCAGACUCCUACGGGAGGCAGCAGUGGGGAAUCUUGCGCAAUGGGCGAAAGCCUGACGCAGCGACGCCGCGUGAGGGAUGACGGCCU
rnacentral:rRNA from 1 species